rnacentral:rRNA from 1 species
UGGGGAAUAUUGGACAAUGGGCGCAAGCCUGAUCCAGCAACGCCGCGUGGAGGACGAAGGUCUUCGGAUCGUAAACUCCUGUCAGGUGGGACGAAGGUAAGGGGGUGAAUAAGCCUCUUGCUUGACGGUACUACCAGAGGAAGCCUCGGCUAACUCCGUGCCAGCAGCCGCGGUAAUACGGAGGGGGCGAGCGUUAUUCGGAAUUAUUGGGCGUAAAGGGCGCGUAGGCGGCUUGAUAAGUCAAAGGUGAAAUCCCUCGGCUCAACUGAGGAACUGCCUUUGAAACUGUCUGGCUUGAGGCCGGGAGGGGGUAGCGGGAAUUCCCAGUGUAGCGGUGAAAUGCGUAGAUACUGGGAGGAACACCGGUGGCGAAGGCGGCUACCUGGACCGGUUCUGACGCUGAUGCGCGAAAGCGUGGGUAGCAAACAGGAUUAGAUACCCUGGUAGUCCACGCUGUAAACGAUGGGUGCUCGGUGUCGCGGGUAUCGACCCCUGCGGUGCCUUAGCUAACGCGUUAACG